GAACGCUCGUAGCAAUACGGGAGUGGCAGACGGGUGAGUAACACGUGGGAACGUCCCCCUCGGUUCGGAAUAACUCAGGGAAACUUGAGCUAAUACCGGAUACGUCCGAGAGGAGAAAGAUUCAUCGCCGAGGGAUCGGCCCGCGUCUGAUUAGCUAGUUGGUGAGGUAACGGCUCACCAAGGCGACGAUCAGUAGCUGGUCUGAGAGGAUGACCAGCCACACUGGGACUGAGACACGGCCCAGACUCCUACGGGAGGCAGCAGUGGGGAAUCUUGGACAAUGGGCGCAAGCCUGAUCCAGCCAUGCCGCGUGAGUGAUGAAGGCCCUAGGGUUGUAAAGCUCUUUCGGCGGGGACGAUAAUGACGGUACCCGCAGAAGAAGCCCCGGCUAACUUCGUG
rnacentral:rRNA from 1 species